AACGAACGCUGGCGGCAUGCCUAACACAUGCAAGUCGAACGAGACCUUCGGGUCUAGUGGCGCACGGGUGCGUAACGCGUGGGAACCUGCCUUUAGGUUCGGAAUAACUCAGAGAAAUUUGAGCUAAUACCGGAUGAUGUCUUCGGACCAAAGAUUUAUCGCCUUUAGAUGGGCCCGCGUUGGAUUAGCUAGUUGGUGGGGUAAAGGCCUACCAAGGCGACGAUCCAUAGCUGGUCUGAGAGGAUGAUCAGCCACACUGGGACUGAGACACGGCCCAGACUCCUACGGGAGGCAGGAGUGGGGAAUAUUGGACAAUGGGCGAAAGCCUGAUCCAGCAAUGCCGCGUGAGUGAGGAAGGCCUUAGGGUUGUAAAGCUCUUUUACCCGAGAUGAUAAUGGCAGUAUCGGGAGAAUAAGCGCCGGCUAACUCCGUG
rnacentral:rRNA from 1 species